GAUAAAGAUAAGUUACUAAGGGCGUAUGGCGGAUGCCUAGGCUCUCAGAGGCGAAGAAGGACGUGACAAGCUGCGAUAAGCCAUGGGGAGGCGCAAAUAGCCGGUAUAUCCGUGGAUUUCCGAAUGGGGCAACCCGGCCGCAAGGUCACCGCGCUUAUGGCGCGGGGCAAACCCGCUGAACUGAAACAUCUAAGUAGGCGGAGGAAGAGAAAACAAAAGUGAUUCCCUGAGUAGUGGCGAGCGAAAGGGGAUUAGCCCAAACCGUCGCUGUUUCGGCAGUGGCGGGGUUGUAGGACUGCGACAAGUGAGCAAGCGGGAAAUGGAACCACCUGGAAAGGCGGGCCAGAGCGGGUGAGAGCCCCGUACAUGUAACCGGUUGCAGGCGAGCAGUAUCCUGAGUAGUGCGGGGCACGUGAAACCCUGUGCGAAUCCGGCGGGACCAUCCGCCAAGGCUAAAUACUCCUGAGAGACCGAUAGUGAACUAGUACCGUGAGGGAAAGGUGAAAAGCACCCCGAACAGGGGAGUGAAACAGAACCUGAAACCGUACGCCUACAAGCGGUCGGAGCACCUAUGCGGUGUGACGGCGUGCCUUUUGCAUAAUGAGCCUACGAGUUACUCCUCACUAGCGAGGUUAAGCCUUUAAGGGGCGCAGCCGAAGCGAAAGCGAGUCUGAACAGGGCGUUCAGUUAGUGGGGGUAGACGCGAAACCGUGUGAUCUACCCAUGGCCAGGUUGAAGUUCCGGUAAAACGGAAUGGAGGACCGAACCCGUUGACGUUGAAAAGUCUUGGGAUGAGCUGUGGGUAGGGGUGAAAGGCCAAUCAAACUCGGAAAUAGCUCGUACUCCCCGAAAUGCAUUUAGGUGCAGCCUCGUAACAGUGUCACAGAGGUAAAGCUACUGAUAAGGCUAGGGGGCUUCACCGCCUACCAACCCUUGAUAAACUCUGAAUGCUGUGACAUGGUUUACGGGAGUGAGGGCGCGGGUGCUAAGGUCCGCGCCCGAGAGGGAAAGAACCCAGACCAUCAGCUAAGGUCCCCAAAUAUAUGCUAAGUUGACCAAACGUGGUCCGGCUGCAGUGACAGCUAGGAUGUUGGCUUGGAAGCAGCCAUUCAUUUAAAGAGUGCGUAACAGCUCACUAGUCGAGCGGCUGGGCGUGGAUAAUAAUCGGGCAUAAGCAUAUUACCGAAGCUAUGGUACCGCUUAGGCGGUAGGUAGGGGAGCAUUCCGGCGGCGCAGAAGCUGUGGCUUGAGCCAUGGUGGAGCUUCCGGAAAAGCAAAUGUAGGCAUAAGUAACGAUAAUGCGGGCGAGAAACCCGCACACCGAAAGACUAAGGUUUCCUGAUCAACGCUAAUCGGAUCAGGGUUAGUCGGGGCCUAAGGCGGACCCGCAAGGGGCAGCCGAUGGACAACUGGUCAAUAUUCCAGUACUUCAGAUACUGCGAUGGGGUGACGAAGAUGUGAAAGUACCGCGCACUGACGGAAUAGUGCGUUGAAGGGUGUAGGUGCUGACUGCUGCAGGCAAAUCCGCAGCGGGAGCCGAACCUGAAAGUACCGCGAGCCUCCGGGCGAGCGGAUAGCGUACCUAACCGGGCUUCCGAGAAAACCCCCUAAGCUCCAGGUAUCUGCAACCCGUACCGCAAACCGACACAGGUAGUCGAGGAGAGGAUCCUAAGGUGCUCGAGUGAAUCAUGGCCAAGGAACUAGGCAAAAUAACCCCGUAACUUCGGGAGAAGGGGAUCCCGCAGCAAUGCGGGACGCAGAGAAAUGGCCCAAGCGACUGUUUAUCAAAAACACAAGGCUUUGCGAAAACGAAAGUUGAUGUAUAAGGCCUGACACCUGCCCGGUGCUGGAAGGUUAAGAGGAGAUGUCAUCCGCAAGGAGAAGCAUUGAAUUGAAGCCCCAGUAAACGGCGGCCGUAACUAUAACGGUCCUAAGGUAGCGAAAUUCCUUGUCGGGUAAGUUCCGACCUGCACGAAUGGUGUAACGACUUGGGCACUGUCUCAGCCAUGAGCUCGGUGAAAUUGUAGUAGCGGUGAAGAUGCCGCUUACCCGCAACGGGACGGAAAGACCCCGUGCACCUUUACUAUAGCUUAACAUUGUUCUUGGGUAAGUGAUGUGUAGGAUAGGCCGGAGGCUGUGAAGCGGUGCCGCCAGGUAUCGUGGAGCCGGCGUUGAAAUACGGCCCUUUGCUUAUCUGGGGACUAACCACGCCCGCGUGGGACAGUGUUUGGUGGGUAGUUUGACUGGGGUGGUCGCCUCCAAAAGAGUAACGGAGGCUCCUAAAGGUUCCCUCAGCAUGGUUGGUAAUCAUGCGCAGAGCGCAAUGGCAGAAGGGAGCUUGACUGUGAGGCAUACAAGCCGAGCAGGUACGAAAGUAGAGCAUAGUGAUCCGGUGGUUCCGCAUGGAAGGGCCAUCGCUCAAAGGAUAAAAGGUACGCCGGGGAUAACAGGCUGAUCGCUCCCAAGAGCUCAUAUCGACGGAGCGGUUUGGCACCUCGAUGUCGGCUCGUCACAUCCUGGGGCUGGAGAAGGUCCCAAGGGUUAGGCUGUUCGCCUAUUAAAGUGGCACGCGAGCUGGGUUCAGAACGUCGUGAGACAGUUCGGUCCCUAUCUGUUGUGGGCGUCGGAAAUUUGAGGGGAGCUGCCGUUAGUACGAGAGGACCGCGGUGGACGAACCUCUAGUGUACCUGUUGUGGCGCCAGCUGCACCGCAGGGUAGCUACGUUCGGAAGGGAUAAGUGCUGAAAGCAUCUAAGCACGAAGCCCACCUCAAGAUGAGAUUUCCUUUAAGGGUCGUUGGAGACUACGACGUUGAUAGGCUGCAGGUGUAAAGGCGGUGACGUCUGAGCCGAGCAGUACUAAUUACCCGUGGGCUUACUUUG
rnacentral:rRNA from 1 species